AUAGUUGUCGAUAUUAUGAGGUAGUAGGUUAUGCAGUUUUGCGACAUUAUUCUCGUUGCGUUGGAGAUAACUGUGUAGCCUACUGACUCUAAUGUCUUCAGCUCUCUCUU
ensembl:miRNA cin-let-7a-2 cin-let-7a-2